CCUACGGGUGGCUGCAGUGGGGAAUAUUGGACAAUGGGCGAAAGCCUGAUCCAGCCAUGCCGCGUGUGUGAAGAAGGCCUUCGGGUUGUAAAGCACUUUCAGUGGGGAAGAAAGCCUUGGGGCUAAUACCCUCGAGGAAGGACAUCACCCACAGAAGAAGCACCGGCUAACUCCGUGCCAGCAGCCGCGGUAAUACGGAGGGUGCGAGCGUUAAUCGGAAUUACUGGGCGUUAAGCGCGCGUAGGCGGUCUGAUAAGCCGGUUGUGAAAGCCCCGGGCUCAACCUGGGAACGGCAUCCGGAACUGUCAGGCUAGAGUGCAGGAGAGGAAGGUAGAAUUCCCGGUGUAGCGGUGAAAUGCGUAGAGAUCGGGAGGAAUACCAGUGGCGAAGGCGGCCUUCUGGACUGACACUGACGCUGAGGUGCGAAAGCGUGGGUAGCAAACAGGAUUAGAUACCCCAGUAGUC
rnacentral:rRNA from 1 species